UGAUGUUUUUAAAUCCUCGCAUACAACUCGAACCAAUUGUUUAAUCUGAAAUAAAGGGGUAUAUAUAGAUAGCACUCAGUGUGACUGUAGAUAUGAAAGAGAGAAUAUUGACUAUAUGAUAUAGUGAUGCAGUAUAAUGAAAAUAAUGAAAAUAAAUAUAAUGAAGAAAGAGUUAAGUACGACGAAGAAUUAAGGAAAAAAAGAAUAAGGGAUAAACGCAGCAUUAUUAUAUGGAUUAAGGAGGAAAAUUGAGACGCAGUCUGAAUAACUUAAACUAUCAAGAAAAUAGGAAAAAUAGUGUAACAACCUGAAGUUAAUUAUUCUUGUGCCACAUAACCCUGAAAGACAGGUUGAAAAAAAUAUAAAAUUUUAUACAACGAAUUGGCCUAUCUAACAAAAUAUCUAUUGAGAUCUUCGUAUACGACGUGACUACGUGCGUUCAGAUGGACACGGAAAGCGGAGAGUGGAGUAAAGAAGCAUUAAAAACCAUCCAAUCAGAAUCGGGUGGAGGCCCGAUUCUGAUUGGGUGGCUCCAGACAGCACAAGAUCUCCUAAGAACAUUCCAGGGACUUCCUGAGGAUGAAGAAACAUCCCGA